AAGAAAGAUCCUGUAGAUCACAUCUAGACAUCAUUACAUUAGAAAAUCCAGCAGCAUCAUUUUUUUUUAUUGAGAUUUCGGAGAUCUUGCAAAUUGGGGGAGAUCUAGCAGACAUGCUAGUUGGAAGAGAAGAGAAACCAGCAAGUAUAAUCGAUUUGAAACAGUAAACCACUUGCUGCACAACAUAGCCUCGCCAUCACACACGCAUCAGUUUUUUUUAGUUUUUUUUAUUGAGAUUUCGGAGAUCUUGUAAAUUGGGGGAGAUCUAGCAGACAUGAUAGUUGGAAGAGAAGAGAAACCAGCAAGUAUAAUCGAUUUGAAACAGUAAACCACUUGCUGCACAACAUAGCCUCGCCAUCAUACAAACAUCAGAUUAAGGCGGCGGCGAAGGCG
rnacentral:lncRNA from 1 species